rnacentral:rRNA from 1 species
UACGGGGGGGGCAAGCGUUGCUCGGAUUUACUGGGCGUAAAGCGUACGCAGGCGGCCUUGUAAGAGGGGUGUGAAAGCCCUCGGCUCAACCGAGGAAUAGCACUCUUGACUGCAAAGCUUGAGUACGGGAGAGGGUCGCGGAAUUCCUGGUGUAGAGGUGAAAUUCGUAGAUAUCAGGAGGAACACCGGCGGCGAAGGCGGCGACCUGGCCCGAUACUGACGCUCAUGUACGAAAGCGUGGGGAGCAAACAGG